rnacentral:lncRNA from 1 species
CACCUGCGAUUGCUUCUCCAAUUUUGCUAUUUAUGCUUGAUGUAUGAUAAUUGUAGCAAAUUGGUGGAGUCUGUUGGACUGGAGCACCUCUUGUUUGGCACGUUAAACUUAGCACUUUCUACAUUGGUAACUGUCAGUCAAAAUUCUUAUCCUUUGUGGUGCAGGAUAGCAAUACUUGUUAGUCAUAAGAGGUGUACUUGGUUAGCUAUUGGGACUAGCUAGUUUAAUUUUAUUGGCAACUAAGAAGCUCUAUACCACUUCAUCUUUUGGGACAAUAUGUUCUUUGUUGUUCCUGUGGUUUACUACUUCUAUACGAUGGGUUCUUUUGCAGGUAUCGUAUACAAAGUGAUAAGAAAGUCGCCAUCUGUAGUAUCCAUCCAUCUGAGCAAGCCACAUUGCAGUGCCUUGGGUGUGUGAAGGCCAAAAUCCCUGUCGCUAAGAGUUACCAUUGCUCACCUAAAUGUUUCUCAGAUGCAUGGCAACAUCAUCGUGUUCUGCAUGAACGUGCGGCUAGUGCUGUGAAUGAAAAUGGAAAUGAGGAGGAAGAGAUAUUUGGACGAUUUAAUAGUACUGGAUCUGGUGUUAUAAAUUCAAGCUUGACUUCUUCGCCGCUAGUGCUGUGAAUGAAAAUGGAAACGAGGAGGAAGAAAUAUUUGGACGAUUUAAUAGUACUGGAUCUGGUGUUAUAAAUUCAAGCUUGACUUCUUCGCAAUCAAGUGGUAGCUUGGCAAAUGGAACCACACCUUUAUACCCUGCAGCAGUAACCCAGAGAA